rnacentral:lncRNA from 1 species
GCACAGAGAGGCCACAGUCAGAAGAAACACUCUGGUCUUAUCUGUAUUAAAUGCAGCUUCUCUUUUUAUUAUUGAUGUAAAGUCAAAGUGUUUGAGAUCAGCUGAGGAUCAGAGUGCAGCAGGGCUGGAUGUGAGGAUGAAGCGCUCUUUGCUCUGCAUGACGGGCUUAUUGUUGUUCGGUACUCUCUUCUAUGUUAAUGCUGAAGUUCCCAAUAAGCCCACCGUGAUCCUCGAACCAUCCUGGCCUCAGAUAUACAGCAGUGAGACAGUCACUGUCAGAUGUGAAGGAAGUCAGUCGCUGUUUGUUUGGAGAGAAGACGAGUUAAUCAGACCAUCAACAUCUGAAUACAGAAUCAGCAGAGCUACUGAGUCUGACAGUGGAGGAUACAGCUGCUGCACCAUGAGUCUUUCAGUGUGCAGUGACAUCAUCACACUGACUGUAUCGUGUAAGUU